GUGGGGAAUAUUGGGCAAUGGGGGCAACCCUGACCCAGCGACGCCGCGUGGGUGAAGAAAUCCCUCGGGAUGUAAAGCCCUGUUGUAUGGGAAGAGCAGAAGACGGUACCAUACGAGGAAGCCCCGGCAAACUACGUGCCAGCAGCCGCGGUAAUACGUAGGGGGCAAGCGUUGUCCGGAAUUACUGGGCGUAAAGCGCACGCAGGCUGAAUUAUAAGUCGGUAGUCAAAUACGGAGGCUCAACUUCCGGAUAUCUAUCGAUACUGUAAAUCUAGAGUAUGUGAGAGGGAAGCGGAAUUCCCGGUGUAGCGGUGAAAUGCGUAGAGAUCGGGAGGAACACCAGUGGCGAAGGCGGCUUCCUGGCACAAUACUGACGCUCAUGUGCGAAAGCUAGGGCAGCGAACGGGAUUAGAAACCCUUGUAGUCC
rnacentral:rRNA from 1 species